GAUGAACGCUGGCGGCGUGCCUAAUACAUGCAAGUCGAACGCAUAGCGAAAGGUGCUUGCCCCUUUCAAGUGAGUGGCGAACGGGUGAGUAACACGUGGACAACCUGCCUCAAGGCUGGGGAUAACAUUUGGAAACAGAUGCUAAUACCGAAUAAAACUUAGUGUCGCAUGACACAAAGUUAAAAGGCGCUUCGGCGUCACCUAGAGAUGGAUCCGCGGUGCAUUAGUUAGUUGGUGGGGUAAAGGCCUACCAAGACAAUGAUGCAUAGCCGAGUUGAGAGCCUGAUCGGCCACAUUGGGACUGAGACACGGCCAAAACUCCUACGGGAGGCUGCAGUAGGGAAUCUUCCACAAUGGGCGAAAGCCUGAUGGAGCAACGCCGCGUGUGUGAUGAAGGCUUUCGGGUCGUAAAGCACUGUUGUAUGGGAAGAACAGCUAGAAUAGGAAAUGAUUUUAGUUUGACGGUACCAUACCAGAAAGGGACGGCUAAAUACGUG
rnacentral:rRNA from 1 species